GGCCACGUCCUCUGCUUCCUGAACUCCCAUUCUGGUGACCCCACCUGGGAUGCAGAGAUGAGGUGAGGCAGGGGCUUGUGCUGUCAACACCACUACUCUACCCUGGGAAUCUGACACACAGUAGGUGCUCGGUAAGUCAUUGUUGAAUGAACAGCAAUACUGGGCCAAGUUUCUGUGGGUGUCUGUGCCCCCAGAUCAGGGACCCCUCAGGGCCCACCUCACAAGUGACAUGAAAAUAAUAAUGCCACCAGGAGCAAUAACAGUUCCUCAGAAUAAGUGGGCUUUUCCAAGCACUCUCCACCUGUUGCAAAGGCCUCCCAGCAGGGAAGUGGGCUGUCAGGGGCAACACUGCACUCUCCACUGUAACAAGGAGAAAGCCAAGGGCCACAGAGAGGAGUGCCUUUCCAGUGUCACUGCUCACUUUCCCACCUUUUGGGAGACUGGGAGGCUUUUCUACUACAUUCUGGCUCUGAAGCCCCAAUACUGUUUGGACAUGCGUCCCUCCCUGGAGCAGGGAACCACUAAGUGACCUGUCACUUGUCACCAAGCAGACAGGCUCAUUUCAGCUCAUUGUGCCACCUGCAGGUUGUACUAGUAGCAGGAUCCUCUGGGAGACAUCACACUCUCCCAACCUGAAAACAGGUGAACAGCUCACAGGUUUCCUGGAGAGGAUGGUCACAUGGCCUUGAUCUGGCCAAUCAGCAUUUUCCAUCCUCCCUGGCCACUGUGAUUGGCUCAGGGCUGGGCACCAGCCCAAUCAGGCUCCACGGAGGUCAGGCCUAUUUACUGGAAUCCUGGGAGCAGAGAAGUUCUAUUUCAGUUGGGAGUUGAGGGGUGAUGAUGUCAGCCUGUGGCAGUUGGUGACUAUCUUGCUCUCAUAAAGGCAGAGCCAUGUGAAGAUGACACCAGUGGCAGAGCCCAGAGGUGGGGAAGGAUGACUUCUGCCGAUGUCACUGAGCACCAGGUACAGCCCUGCCUGAAGCUAUCUCCCUGUGGAUGUCUCAGUUAGGCUGUCUGCUGCAUGAGAAUGGAGACCUGCCUGCUUCACUACCUUCUAUGCCCGGUAUCUGGAGCCCGCCCAACACACAGUAGGACGUCAGCGAAUGUGUGACGGGUGUGUGAUCACUGUAGGCCACAGACAAAAGUCUUCCCAGCAGUGAUGAAACCCUGUGACAGAUCCUGUCCACAGCACCCUGCUCCUCCAAUCCUGACCCCAGGCUUUCCCAUGGUGUGUGACCCCGCAUGGGGUGCAGUCCCCUCCUCCAGUCUGGUGAGUAGAAACUACCUUUUCUUUUUUCUUUUGUUAAUAUAUUUAUUUUUUAAUUUUUAUUUUAUUGAGUUAUAGUCAGUUUGCAUUGUUGUGUCAAUUUCCAGCAUAGAGCAUAAUUUUGUCAAUUGUGUUUACUCUUUCAAGAAACCAUCUCUUGGCUUGAUUUUUUCAAAUGUUUCUAAUAUCUCUAUUUUAUUUAUUUCC